GAUCCUGGCUCAGGAUGAACGCUAGCUACAGGCUUAACACAUGCAAGUCGAGGGGAAACGAUAUUGGAAGCUUGCUUCCGAUAGGCGUCGACCGGCGCACGGGUGAGUAACGCGUAUCCAACCUGCCCAUCACUUGGGAAUAACCUUGCGAAAGUAAGACUAAUGCCCAACUGACAUUUAUUAGAAGGCAUCGGAAAGUAGAAUUAAAAGUAAUUUAUUCGGUGGAUGGAGUGGGGAGGUGCGU
rnacentral:rRNA from 1 species